ACGUAGGGUGCGAGCGUUGUCCGGAAUUAUUGGGCGUAAAGGGCUCGUAGGCGGUUUGUCGCGUCGGGAGUGAAAACCCAGGGCUUAACUCUGGGCUUGCUUUCGAUACGGGCAGACUAGAGGUAUGCAGGGGAGAACGGAAUUCCUGGUGUAGCGGUGAAAUGCGCAGAUAUCAGGAGGAACACCGGUGGCGAAGGCGGUUCUCUGGGCAUUACCUGACGCUGAGGAGCGAAAGUGUGGGGAGCGAACAGGAUUAGAUACCCUGGUAGUCCACACCGUAAACGUUGGGCGCUAGGUGUGGGGCCUAUUCCAUGGGUUCCGUGCCGCAGCUAACGCAUUAAGCGCCCCGCCUGGGGAGUACGGCCGCAAGGCUA
rnacentral:rRNA from 1 species